rnacentral:rRNA from 1 species
GACGAACGCUGGCGGCGUGCUUAACACAUGCAAGUCGAACGGUGAAGGGGUCUGCUUUUGUUGUCCCUGGAUGAGUGGCGAACGGGUGAGUAACACGUGAGUAACCUGCCCCCUUCUUCUGGAUAACCGCAUGAAAGUUUGCCUAAUACGGGAUAUUCUCGUUCUGUCGCAUGCUGGGUCUGUUAAGGAUUGCGCCUUUUGGUGUUGUUGGUGUGGGAUUGGCUCGCGGCCUAUCAGCUUGCUGGUGGGGUGAUGGCCUCCCAAGGCGGUGGCGGGUAGCCGGGAUGAGGGGCUGGAAGGUUGGACUGGGGACGAGGCCCGGACCACAAUCCUACGGGGGGGAGCGGUAGAGAAGACAGCACAAUGAGCGCAAGCCUAGUGCAGCGACGCCGCGUGAGGAAUGGAGGCGUUCGGGUUGUAAACCUGUUUGGAAAGAGAAGCAGGCCUGUUCCUUGUGGGUGGGUUGACGGUAGCUAGAGAAGAAGCGCCGGCUAACUACGUG